AUUGAACGCUGGCGGCAGGCUUAACACAUGCCAUUCGAACGAUGAAACUCUAGCUUGCUAGAGAAGAUUAGUGGCGGACGGGUGAGUAACAUUUAGGAAUCUGCCUAGUAGUGGGGGAUAGCUCGGGGAAACUCGAAUUAAUACCGCAUACGACCUACGGGUGAAAGGGGGCGCAAGCUCUUGCUAUUAGAUGAGCCUAAAUCAGAUUAGCUAGUUGGUGGGGUAAAGGCCCACCAAGGCGACGAUCUGUAACUGGUCUGAGAGGAUGAUCAGUCACACCGGAACUGAGACACGGUCCGGACUCCUACGGGAGGCAGCAGUGGGGAAUAUUGGACAAUGGGGGCAACCCUGAUCCAGCCAUGCCGCGUGUGUGAAGAAGGCCUUUUGGUUGUAAAGCACUUUAAGCAGGGAGGAGAGGCUAAUGGUUAAUACCCAUUAGAUUAGACGUUACCUGCAGAAUAAGCACCGGCUAACUCUGUGCCAGCAGCCGCGGUAAUACAGAGGGUGCGAGCGUUAAUCGGAAUUACUGGGCGUAAAGCGAGUGUAGGUGGCUCAUUAAGUCACAUGUGAAAUCCCCGGGCUUAACCUGGGAACUGCAUGUGAUACUGGUGGUGCUAGAAUAUGUGAGAGGGAAGUAGAAUUCCAGGUGUAGCGGUGAAAUGCGUAGAGAUCUGGAGGAAUACCGAUGGCGAAGGCAGCUUCCUGGCAUAAUAUUGACACUGAGAUUCGAAAGCGUGGGUAGCAAACAGGAUUAGAUACCCUGGUAGUCCACGCCGUAAACGAUGUCUACUAGCCGUUGGGGUCCUUGAGACUUUAGUGGCGCAGUUAACGCGAUAAGUAGACCGCCUGGGGAGUACGGCCGCAAGGUUAAAACUCAAAUGAAUUGACGGGGGCCCGCACAAGCGGUGGAGCAUGUGGUUUAAUUCGAUGCAACGCGAAGAACCUUACCUGGUCUUGACAUAGUGAGAAUCCUGCAGAGAUGCGGGAGUGCCUUCGGGAAUUCACAUACAGGUGCUGCAUGGCUGUCGUCAGCUCGUGUCGUGAGAUGUUGGGUUAAGUCCCGCAACGAGCGCAACCCUUUUCCUUAUUUGCCAGCGGGUUAAGCCGGGAACUUUAAGGAUACUGCCAGUGACAAACUGGAGGAAGGCGGGGACGACGUCAAGUCAUCAUGGCCCUUACGACCAGGGCUACACACGUGCUACAAUGGUAGGUACAGAGGGUUGCUACACAGCGGUGUGAUGCUAAUCUCAAAAAGCCUAUCGUAGUCCGGAUUGGAGUCUGCAACUCGACUCCAUGAAGCCGGAAUCGCUAGUAAUCGCAGAUCAGAAUGCUGCGGUGAAUACGUUCCCGGGCCU
rnacentral:rRNA from 1 species